rnacentral:rRNA from 1 species
UACGAAGGGUGCUAGCGUUGUUCGGAUUUACUGGGCGUAAAGCGUGCGUAGGUGGCUUUACAAGUCAGGGGUGAAAUCCUGGGGCUCAACCGUAAAAUUGCCAUUGAAACUGAUUAUCUUGAGUACAGUUGAGGUGGGCGGAAUGUAUCAUGUAGCGGUGAAAUGCUUAGAUAUGAUACAGAACACCUAUUGCGAAAGCAGCUCACUAAACUGCAACUGACGCUGAGGCACGAAAGCGUGGGGAUCAAACAGG